GAGACUAACAAGGAUUCCCCUAGUAACUGCGAGUGAAGCGGGAAAAGCUCAAAUUUAAAAUCUGGCGGUCUUUGGCCGUCCGAGUUGUAAUCUAGAGAAGUGCUAUCCGCGCUGGACCGUGUACAAGUCUCCUGGAAUGGAGCGUCAUAGAGGGUGAGAAUCCCGUCUUUGACACGGACUGCCAGGGCUUUGUGAUGCGCUCUCAAAGAGUCGAGUUGUUUGGGAAUGCAGCUCAAAAUGGGUGGUAAAUUCCAUCUAAAGCUAAAUAUUGGCGAGAGACCGAUAGCGAACAAGUACCGUGAGGGAAAGAUGAAAAGAACUUUGGAAAGAGAGUUAAACAGUACGUGAAAUUGCUGAAAGGGAAACGCUUGAAGUCAGUCGCGUUGUCCAGGGAUCAACCUUGCUUUUGCUUGGUGCACUUUCUGGUUGACGGGUCAGCAUCAAUUUUGACUAUUGGAAAAAGAUUAGGGGAAUGUGGCAUCUUCGGAUGUGUUAUAGCCCUUGGUUGCAUACAAUGGUUGGGAUUGAGGAACUCAGCACGCCGCAAGGCCGGGUUUUUAACCACGUACGUGCUUAGGAUGCUGGCAUAAUGGCUUUAAUCGACCCGUCUUGAAACACGGACCAAGGAGUCUAACAUGCCUGCGAGUGUUUGGGUGGAAAACCCGAGCGCGUAAUGAAAGUGAAAGUUGAGAUCCCUGUCGUGGGGAGCAUCGACGCCCGGACCAGACCUUUUGUGACGGUUCCGCGGUAGAGCAUGUAUGUUGGGACCCGAAAGAUGGUGAACUAUGCCUGAAUAGGGUGAAGCCAGGGGAAACCCUGGUGGAGGCUCGUAGCGAUUCUGACGUGCAAAUCGAUCGUCAAAUUUGGGUAUAGGGGCGAAAGACUAAUCGAUCCAUCUAGUACCUGG
rnacentral:rRNA from 1 species